UCUUUCUUUCUUUCUUUCUUUCUUUCUUUCUUUCUUUCUUUCUUUCUUUCUUUCUGUCUUUCUUUCUUUUUUCUGUCUUUCUUUCUGUCUCUCUUCCUGCUUUUCUUUCUGUCUUUCCGUCUUUCUUUCUUUCUUUCUUUCUUUCUUUCUUUCUUUCUUUCUUUCUUUCUUUCUGUCUUUCUUUCUUUUUUCUGUCUUUCUGUCUUUCUUUCUGUCUUUCUUGUCAGUAAACAACCAUCAUAGCUGUUUUUCUGUCACUAGAUGAAUAAUAUACAGUAGUCAGACAUUGAACCAUUGGCUUUAGACACAAAAUUUGAUUAACCAAUUUGACUUGUCACUCAACUUCUGUUUGUUGACCUUAGCUAGACUAUAGGGAUAGGGAUACAUCUAUGUUUUAAAAGCCUACUUUGCCAAAUUCAAGCCAUUUCCUAAUUUAGGGGUAUUUAUCUCUUGGCGUCAGCCAGGGACACUUAGGUAUUGUGGAGCUGAGUUUGUCAAAAUACAUUCCCCCGUGUACUGCCAGUGGAGAGUGACAAGCGUAUUUAAUACACCCUGAUUCGUCUACUGGGUGAACACUUAAAACCAAGGACUCCAGCAGCAUUGGACAACGGUCCAGAACAUGUUGGAGAUGCACUUCUACCGUCUCUGGACCAGCACUAGGCUCAGGUUAGAUAUCUUCUGGACCAGCACUAGAUUCAGGUUAGAUAUCUCCCAGACCAGCACUAGGCUCAGGUUAGAUAUCUCAUAGACCAGCACUAGGCUCAGGUUAGAUAUCUCCCAGACCAGCACUAGGCUCAGGUUAGAUAUCUCCCAGACCAGCACUAGGCUCAGGUUAGAUAUCUCCCAGACCAGCACUAGGCUCAGGUUAGAUAUCUCCUAGACCAGCACUAGGCUCAUGUUAGAUAUCUCAUAGGCCAGCACUAGAUUCAGGUUAAAUAUCUCAUAGACCAGCACUACGCUCAGGUUGGAUAUCUCAUAGACCAGCACUAGGCUCAGGUUAGAUAUCUCCUAGACCAGCACUAGGCUCAUGUUAGAUAUCUCCUAGACUAGCACUAAGCUCAGGUUAGAUAUAUCCUGUACUAGCACUAGGCUCAGGUUAGAUAUCUCCUAGACCAGCACUAGGCUCAGGUUGGAUAUCUCCUGGACCAGCACUAGGCUCAGGUUAGAUAUCUCCUGGACCAGCACUAGGCUCAGGUUAGAGGACACCAGAGCAUAGCAUGUGAUAUAGACCUCAUAUAAAUACUUUUUCUGUCCACCUACUGGGAGGUCAUGGCGUUACAGAAGAAGGAAUGAGUGACACCUAUUGCAGAGCUUGGCUUUUCUACAUAUUUGCAUACUAGACUUCUACUGCAGAGCUUGGAUGGUCUACAUAUUUGCAUACUAGACUUCUACUGUCACAGUACAGUAUGACCAUACUGGAGACACAUAUUUCCUUCAGAUUACACAGACACACAAACAAUUCAGAACUUGUUGGCACACAUAUAAGCCUUUCUGCAAGCAGACUCAUUCACAGACCCACACACACAGUCAUUCAUGUAUAAAUCGCUCUCUCUCACUCCUUCUUUCUCUCUAUCUCUCUUUGUAUGUCUGUUUGUUUGUCUCUAUCUCACUAUCUUCUCUCUCUCUCUCUUUCUAUAUCUCACUAUCUCUCUCUCUCUCUCUCUCUCACUAUCUCUCUCUCUCUCUAUCUCUCUCUCUCACUUUCUUUCUCUUGGCCUGUCUCUCCUCUCUCCUCCCUCUCUCAGGCUCUACGUCUGGUUAUCCACCCUCCCCUCUCUGCCUCUGGUUAUCCACCCUCCCCUCUCUACGUCUGGUUAUCCACCCUCUCCUCUCUACAUCUGGUUAUCCACCCUCUCCUCUCUACGUCUGGUUAUCCACCCUCCUCUCUACGUCUGGUUAUCCACCCUCUCCUCUCUACAUCUGGUUAUCCACCCUCUCCUCUCUCUGUCUGGUUAUCCACCCUCUCCUCUCUACGUCUGGUUAUCCACCCUCUCCUCUCUACGUCUGGUUAUCCACCCUCUCCUCUCUACAUCUGGUUAUCCACCCUCCUCUCUAUGUCUGGUUAUCCACCCUCUCCUCUCUACAUCUGGUUAUCCACCCUCUCCUCUCUACGUCUGGUUAUCCACCCUCUCCUCUCUGUCUGGUUAUCCACCCUCUCCUCUCUACGUCUGGUUAUCCACCCUCUCCUCUCUACAUCUGGUUAUCCACCCUCCUCUCUAUGUCUGGUUAUCCACCCUCUCCUCUCUACAUCUGGUUAUCCACCCUCUCCUCUCUACGUCUGGUUAUCCACCCUCCUCUCUACGUCUGGUUAUCCACCCUCUCCUCUCUCUCUCUCUGUCUCAUUAUCCACCCUUCCCUCUCUCUCUCUCUCUCUCUCUCUCUCUCUCUCUCUCUCUCUCUCUCUGUCUGGGUAUGCACCCCCCCCUCUCUCUCUCUGGUUAUGCACCCCUCCCUCUCUCUCUCUGGUUAUCCACCCUCCCCCUCUCUCUCUCGCUGUCUUGUUAUCCACACUCCUCUCUCUCUCUCUGUCUGGUUAUGCACCCUCCCCUCUCUCGCUCUCUCUCUGUCUGGUUAUGCACCCUUCCCCCCUCUCUCUCUCUCUGUCUGGUUAUGCACCCUCCCCCCUCUCUCUCUGUCUGGUUAUGCACCCUCUCUCUCGCUCUCUCUCUCUCUGGUUAUGCACCUCUCCCUCUCUCUCUCUGGUUAUCCACCCUCCCCCCUCUCUCUCUCGCUGUCUUGUUAUCCACACUCCUCUCUCUCUCUCUCUCUCUCUCUCUGUCUGGUUAUGCACCCUCCCCACUCUCGCUCUCUCUCUGUCUGGUUAUGCAGCCUUCCCCCCCUCUCUCUCUCUGUCUGGUUAUGCACCCUCC
rnacentral:lncRNA from 1 species